AGAUUAAGUUAUUAAGGGCGCACGGUGGAUGCCUUGGCACUAGAAGCCGAUGAAGGACGUUACUAACGACGAUAUGCUUUGGGGAGCUGUAAGUAAGCUUUGAUCCAGAGAUUUCCGAAUGGGGAAACCCAGCAUGAGUUAUGUCAUGUUAUCGAUAUGUGAAUACAUAGCAUAUCAGAAGGCACACCCGGAGAACUGAAACAUCUUAGUACCCGGAGGAAGAGAAAGAAAAUUCGAUUCCCUUAGUAGCGGCGAGCG
rnacentral:rRNA from 1 species